rnacentral:rRNA from 1 species
UUUGCAUAUCAAUAAGCGGAGGAAAAGAAACCAACAGGGAUUGCCUUAGUAACGGCGAGUGAAGCGGCAAAAGCUCAAUUUGAAAUCGCUUCGGCGAGUUGUAAGUAAAGUGGUUAGACGCUUUUUAAUAAGUCCCUUGGAACAGGGCGCCAUAGAGGGUGAUAGCCCCGUAUUAAAUUGUCUAGUGUGCUACUUUAGAGCGAGUCGAGUUGUUUGGGAAUGCAGCUCAAAUAGGUGGUAAACUCCAUCUAAAGCUAAAUAUUGCUGGGAGACCGAUAGCGAACAAGUACAGUGAUGGAAAGAUGAAAAGCACUUUGAAAAGAGAGUGAAAUAGCGUGUGAAAUUGUUGGAGGGGAAGGCGAUGGUAGGAAUAAGAGGCUGCGGUUUGAAAUAAAUGUUUUUCGGGCCACGGUCUCCUGAGCCUGCUUUCGCACCCGUCUUGAAACACGGACCA